AUCACUUGCUCAGUGGUGAACUAAGCCAGUUAAUCUUAAAUCUGUUCAUAUCCAUCCUUAAGUACACAAAGUGAUUUUAUGGCUUUCCUGUGAGCUCUGCUUCAAGGACAAGGGGAAAUCAGCCUCUCUGUUGAGUGGUAUUGGUGGGCAAGUUCCAAAUCUUACACCUUCUCAGGUAUCACUUCAAAAUUAAAGGUGGUAAUAGAGGUUGCGUAGGGUAAUCCAGGACACCUGUUAACUAAAGUGAUUCAAAAUUUUUCUCUUCUAGUCCAAUUUUCAUAACUUUUUUUCCUAUCAAGAACAAAUACAAUGCUAAUUUUGUUAGCACAGAGAUGACUUUAGGUUGGGGUUAGAGCU
rnacentral:lncRNA from 1 species